UACGUAGGGACCGAGCGUUGUCCGGAAUCAUUGGGCGUAAAGAGCGUGUAGGCGGCCCCUUAAGUCCUGCGUGAAAUCCUGCGGCUCAACCGCAGACGGUCGUGGGAAACUGGAGGGCUAGAGUGCGGGAGAGGAGAGUGGAAUUCCCGGUGUAGCGGUGAAAUGCGCAGAUAUCGGGAAGAACACCCGUGGCGAAGGCGACACGCUGGGCCGUACCUGACACUGAUGCGCGACAGCAUGGGGAGCAAACAGG
rnacentral:rRNA from 1 species